GGGUCUCCUUUUUUUCCCUUUUCCUCCUCCUCCUUUGUCUUCUCCUAUUCCUAUUCCGCGUUUUCUUUCCCUCGAUUCAAAAAGUCUCCCAACCCUAGGUCUCCGGUUGGUAAUCUUUUUCAAGAUCAUGAUACCCUUCUUCUCUUUCUUCGUCUUCUCGUCAUGAUUCUUCCAGAUGGGCAAUGUCCGUUAUCUUAUGCUUCUCCCUCUCUUCCAUCCCCCUUUCUUCUUUUCUAAGGGGUUUCUUGCUUCUUUUCUGUUUUUUUGUUUUUUUUUGUUGGUGCCGUGGGGUCUCCAAUAAGAGGCUGUGAUGAUUCCUGGACGAGUGUUUGCUGCGUUCUGAAGCAGAAGACUUCUAUUUCUAAUGGCAAGGCAGUCUUGGAUGGUCUGCUGCUGUACUGCAGGCAGCCGCUUGCUGCCGUCUUGAUUUCGUUGCGGAAGGUCUUGAGACUAAGAACACGGUGCUGUAAUAAAUGGUGCAUGUGAAACCAAGAUUCACCGUAUCGGUAUUGGACUCCGUAUCGGUACCACACUAGCAUAGUGUUGGUACGAUACAGUAUGUAGUUUUUUUGGCGUACCGAGUAUCGGUAUGCCACCGGUACCAGUGUCGGUACCGUCCAAUUUGUUCCGAUAUGGCAUACCAGGGGUGAAACUGUGGGAUGGCCUACAACUAUUUAUAGUGAUAAGACUGGAACAUAUGAUAAUAUGAGUGAUUAAACAAUAGAAGGUGAUGUCAAGGCUGCUGGAGAACACUAAUAAGCUAGCUAUAAACAUCACAACUGAAGCUGAUGUCGGUGAACCAUAUAUAAGCCUGGAAACUGGUGGUGGAGACGCUGGUUGAUGAGGCUGCUAAGUACCCUUGGCCCCGAAUGGUCGGUUGGCCCCACCAACCCCAGCAGCUGCAAUACAGGAAUAUCACCCCACAGAUGUGCGAGGUAUGUCUUCUCAGAACCAAGUCUGUCAACUCUUUAAGUUCAAUUUUUUUUUCACAAUCAUGUUGCUUAUAUGUCUACACAAAUUAUACAUGAUGAUUGACUAUUCUAAUCAUUUCACCAAACAAGAUGUGAUGAAGUGCUCUUUUGUUUGGUGAAAUUGGACAAACUCCAAUCACGUUUUAAUGUAUGUUGGAUGCGGUCUAGCUCCAUUCAUCAUAAUCUAAAUCUCUAGUCUCCAUAUAGCUGGGAAAACCUGGUUACGAACUUAGUGGACGAAGUCUAUAUAGACAAUCCAAAUAUGGAACUACACUUGCUUCAGCUUGUAUCUUUACGAGGCCGAGUACUCGAAAAAACCAUUAGCAAGCUGAUGAUGAUACACGGAACUAGUUUGCUUAUCAAUGGACUUGGCCACCUACUGCUUGGUGCCGGGGGAAGUUUUUUAUCUUGUGGCAGUACUAAAUGUGCAUCGUGGUGAGAGUUGUGGACAUCAGGAACAAUGGUGAGAUGAUUUGUUAUUGCUGAUAGCAUGGAGGAUUACGUUGGCGUCAAUCCAGACCACUAGACUGAGAACAGAAAGUUUCACGUAUGCACUCCCUAUGUAUAGUAAUAUUUUAUAUAAUAUUUUAUAAGAAUGUCAAAGAAAAGGGGAAUAAAUUUUAAAGUCGAUCCUUGGAAAGCUGU